GUGCCAGCCGCCGCGGUAAUACGGAGGGUGCGAGCGUUAAUCGGAAUUACUGGGCGUAAAGCGCACGCAGGCGGUUUGUUAAGCUAGAUGUGAAAGCCCCGGGCUCAACCUGGGAUGGUCAUUUAGAACUGGCAGACUAGAGUCUUGGAGAGGGGAGUGGAAUUCCAGGUGUAGCGGUGAAAUGCGUAGAUAUCUGGAGGAACAUCAGUGGCGAAGGCGACUCCCUGGCCAAAGACUGACGCUCAUGUGCGAAAGUGUGGGUAGCGAACAGGAUUAGAAACCCGAGUAGUCC
rnacentral:rRNA from 1 species